GGGUUGUGAGGUUAAGCGACUAAGCGUACACGGUGGAUGCCUAGGCAGUCACAGGCGAUGAAGGGCGUGCUAAUCUGCGAAAAGCGUCGGUAAGCUGAUAUGAAGCGUUAUAACCGACGAUACCCGAAUGGGGAAACCCAGUGCAAUACGUUGCACUAUCGUUAGAUGAAUACAUAGUCUAACGAGGCGAACCGGGGGAACUGAAACAUCUAAGUACCCCGAGGAAAAGAAAUCAACCGAGAUUCCCCCAGUAGCGGCGAGCGAACGGGGAGGAGCCCAGAGUCUGAAUCAGUUUGUGUGUUAGUGGAAGCGUCUGGAAAGUCGCACGGUACAGGGUGAUAGUCCCGUACACCAAAAUGCACAGGCUGUGAACUCGAUGAGUAGGGCGGGACACGUGACAUCCUGUCUGAAUAUGGGGGGACCAUCCUCCAAGGCUAAAUACUCCUGACUGACCGAUAGUGAACCAGUACCGUGAGGGAAAGGCGAAAAGAACCCCGGCGAGGGGAGUGAAAUAGAACCUGAAACCGUGUACGUACAAGCAGUGGGAGCACCUUCGUGGUGUGACUGCGUACCUUUUGUAUAAUGGGUCAGCGACUUAUAUUUUGUAGCAAGGUUAACCGAAUAGGGGAGCCGUAGGGAAACCGAGUCUUAACUGGGCGUCUAGUUGCAAGGUAUAGACCCGAAACCCGGUGAUCUAGCCAUGGGCAGGUUGAAGGUUGGGUAACACUAACUGGAGGACCGAACCGACUAAUGUUGAAAAAUUAGCGGAUGACUUGUGGCUGGGGGUGAAAGGCCAAUCAAACCGGGAGAUAGCUGGUUCUCCCCGAAAGCUAUUUAGGUAGCGCCUCGUGAACUCAUCUUCGGGGGUAGAGCACUGUUUCGGCUAGGGGGCCAUCCCGGCUUACCAAACCGAUGCAAACUCCGAAUACCGAAGAAUGUUAUCACGGGAGACACACGGCGGGUGCUAACGUCCGUCGUGAAGAGGGAAACAACCCAGACCGCCAGCUAAGGUCCCAAAGUCAUGGUUAAGUGGGAAACGAUGUGGGAAGGCACAGACAGCCAGGAUGUUGGCUUAGAAGCAGCCAUCAUUUAAAGAAAGCGUAAUAGCUCACUGGUCGAGUCGGCCUGCGCGGAAGAUGUAACGGGGCUAAACCAUGCACCGAAGCUGCGGCAGCGACACUUAGGUGUUGUUGGGUAGGGGAGCGUUCUGUAAGCCGUUGAAGGUGACCUGUGAGGGUUGCUGGAGGUAUCAGAAGUGCGAAUGCUGACAUAAGUAACGAUAAUGCGGGUGAAAAACCCGCACGCCGGAAGACCAAGGGUUCCUGUCCAACGUUAAUCGGGGCAGGGUGAGUCGACCCCUAAGGCGAGGCUGAAAAGCGUAGUCGAUGGGAAACAGGUUAAUAUUCCUGUACUUGGUGUUACUGCGAAGGGGGGACGGAGAAGGCUAGGCUGGCCGGGCGACGGUUGUCCCGGUUUAAGCGUGUAGGGGGAGUGACCAGGUAAAUCCGGUUGCUUAUCAACCCUGAGGCGUGAUGACGAUGCACCACGGUGCAGAAGCAGUUGAUGCCAUGCUUCCAGGAAAAGCCUCUAAGCAUCAGGUAACAUUAAAUCGUACCCCAAACCGACACAGGUGGUCAGGUAGAGAAUACUCAGGCGCUUGAGAGAACUCGGGUGAAGGAACUAGGCAAAAUGGUGCCGUAACUUCGGGAGAAGGCACGCUGGCGUUAGGUGAAAGGACUAGCUCCUGGAGCUGAAGCCAGUCGCAGAUACCAGCUGGCUGCAACUGUUUAAUAAAAACACAGCACUGUGCAAACACGAAAGUGGACGUAUACGGUGUGACGCCUGCCCGGUGCUGGAAGGUUAAUUGAUGGGGUCAGCCGCAAGGCGAAGCUCUUGAUCGAAGCCCCAGUAAACGGCGGCCGUAACUAUAACGGUCCUAAGGUAGCGAAAUUCCUUGUCGGGUAAGUUCCGACCUGCACGAAUGGCGUAAUGAUGGCCAGGCUGUCUCCACCCGAGACUCAGUGAAAUUGAACUCGCUGUGAAGAUGCAGUGUACCCGCGGCAAGACGGAAAGACCCCGUGAACCUUUACUAUAGCUUGACACUGAACAUUGAGCCUUGAUGUGUAGGAUAGGUGGGAGGCCUUGAAGUGUGGACGCCAGUCUGCAUGGAGCCAACCUUGAAAUACCACCCUUUAAUGUUUGAUGUUCUAACUCGGCCCCAUGAUCUGGGGUGAGGACAGUGUCUGGUGGGUAGUUUGACUGGGGCGGUCUCCUCCCAAAGAGUAACGGAGGAGCACGAAGGUUAGCUAAUCACGGUCGGACAUCGUGAGGUUAGUGCAAAGGCAUAAGCUAGCUUGACUGCGAGAGUGACGGCUCGAGCAGGUACGAAAGUAGGUCUUAGUGAUCCGGUGGUUCUGAAUGGAAGGGCCAUCGCUCAACGGAUAAAAGGUACUCCGGGGAUAACAGGCUGAUACCGCCCAAGAGUUCAUAUCGACGGCGGUGUUUGGCACCUCGAUGUCGGCUCAUCACAUCCUGGGGCUGAAGUAGGUCCCAAGGGUAUGGCUGUUCGCCAUUUAAAGUGGUACGCGAGCUGGGUUUAGAACGUCGUGAGACAGUUCGGUCCCUAUCUGCCGUGGGCGUUGGAAGAUUGAGAGGGGCUGCUCCUAGUACGAGAGGACCGGAGUGGACGAAUCACUGGUGUUCGGGUUGUCAUGCCAAUGGCAUUGCCCGGUAGCUAAAUUCGGAAGAGAUAACCGCUGAAAGCAUCUAAGCGGGAAACUUGCCUCGAGAUGAGUCUUCCCUGGGGCUUAAAGCCCCCUGAAGGAACGUUAAAGACUAUGACGUUGAUAGGCUGGGUGUGUAAGUGCAGCGAUGUAUUGAGCUAACCAGUACUAAUGAUCCGUGAGGCUUAACCUUACAACACCGAAGGUGUUU
rnacentral:rRNA from 1 species